UGGGGAAUAUUGCACAAUGGGGGAAACCCUGAUGCAGCGACGCCGCGUGAACGAAGAAGGUAUUCGUAUCGUAAAGUUCUGUCCUAUGGGAAGAUAAUGACAGUACCAUAGAAGAAAGCUCCGGCUAAAUACGUGCCAGCAGCCGCGGUAAUACGUAUGGAGCGAGCGUUGUCCGGAAUUAUUGGGCGUAAAGGGUACGCAGGCGGUUUAAUAAGUCGAAUGUUAAAGAUCGGGGCUCAACCCCGCAAAGCAUUGGAAACUGAUAAACUUGAGUAGUGGAGAGGAAAGUGGAAUUCCUAGUGUAGUGGUGAAAGACGUAGAUAUUAGGAGGAAUACCAGUAGCGAAGGCGACUUUCUGGACACAAACUGACGCUGAGGUACGAAAGCGUGGGGAGCAAACAGG
rnacentral:rRNA from 1 species